rnacentral:rRNA from 1 species
UACGGAGGGUGCGAGCGUUGUCCGGAAUCACUGGGCGUAAAGGCGCGUAGGCGGCCUGGUAAGUAGGGGGUGAAAUCCUGCGGCUUAACCGCAGGGCUGCCUUCUAAACUGUCAGGCUCGAGCACGGGUGGAGGCAGAUGGAAUUCCUGGUGUAGCGGUGAAAUGCGCAGAUAAUCGAGGAGAACACCGGUGGCGGAAGGCGGGUCUCUGGGCAUUGAACUGACGUGAGGAGCGAAAGCAUGGGGAGGCGAACAGG